AGCAGCCGCGGUAAUUCCAGCUCCAAUAGCGUAUAUUAAAGUUGCUGCAGUUAAAAGCUCGUAGUUGAAUUUCGGGACUGAUAUGUCGGUCGUGCCUCGGUACGUACUGGUAUUUUGGUUUCUCCCUUCUGACGAACCUUGAUGUCAUUAAUUUGGUGUCUUGGGAAAUCAGGACUGUUACUUUGAAAAAUUAGAGUGUUUAAAGCAGGCUCACGCUUGAAUACAUUAGCAUGGAAUAAUGAAAUAGGACGUUUGAUUCUAUUUUGUUGGUUUCUAGGAUCGACGUAAUGAUUAAUAGGGAUAGUUGGGGGCAUUAGUAUUCAAUUGUCAGAGGUGAAAUUCUUGGAUUUAUUGAAGACUAACUACUGCGAAAGCAUUUGCCAAGGAUGUUUUCAUUAAUCAAGAACGAAAGUUAGGGGAUCGAAGACGAUCAGAUACCGUCGUAGUCUUAACCAUAAACUAUGCCGACUAGGGAUCGGAUGAUGUAAUUUUUAAUGACUCAUUCGGCGCCUUACGGGAA
rnacentral:rRNA from 1 species